UACGUAGGGGGCAAGCGUUGUCCGGAAUCAUUGGGCGUAAAGCGCGUGUAGGCGGCCAGAAAAGUCCGCUGUGAAAACUCGAGGCUCAACUUCGAGCUGUCGGUGGAAACUUUCUGGCUAGAGUCCGGAAGAGGAGAAUGGAAUUCCCGGUGUAGCGGUGAAAUGCGCAGAUAUCGGGAAGAACACCAAUGGCGAAGGCAGCUCUCUGGGACGGUACUGACGCUGAGACGCGAAAGCGUGGGGAGCGAACAGG
rnacentral:rRNA from 1 species